UACGUAGGGGGCUAGCGUUGUCCGGAAUCAUUGGGCGUAAAGAGCGUGUAGGCUGCUCGGUAAGUCCGCUGUAAAAGUCAAAGGCUCAACCUUUGAAUGUCAGUGGAUACUGCCGGGCUAGAGUCCGGAAGAGGCGAGUGGAACUCCUGGUGUAGCGGUGGAAUGCGUAGAGAUGUGGAGGAACACCGAUGGCGAAGGCAGCCCCCUGGGCUAACACUGACGCUCAUGCACGAAAGCGUGGGGAGCAAACAGG
rnacentral:rRNA from 1 species